CCUACGGGAUGCACCAGUGGGGAAUAUUGCACAAUGGGCGCAAGCCUGAUCCAGCCAUGCCGCGUGAGUGAAGAAGGCCUUAGGGUUGUAAAGCUCUUUCACCGGUGAAGAUAAUGACGGUAACCGGAGAAGAAGCCCCGGCUAACUUCGUGCCAGCAGCCGCGGUAAUACGAAGGGGGCUAGCGUUGUUCGGAAUUACUGGGCGUAAAGCGCGCGUAGGCGGAUAGAUAAGUCAGAGGUGAAAUCCCGGGGCUCAACCCCGGAAUUGCCUUUGAUACUGUUUAUCUUGAGUGCAGAAGAGGUAAGUGGAAUUCCGAGUGUAGAGGUGAAAUUCGUAGAUAUUCGGAGGAACACCAGUGGCGAAGGCGGCCCCCUGGACAGAGACUGACGCUCAGGUGCGAAAGCGUGGGGAGCAAACAGGAUUAGAUACCCUCGUAGUC
rnacentral:rRNA from 1 species